AAGAUUUUAAGUUAAUUAAACUGAGGGCUUUCAAGGUCCUUAAUAAAUAUUUAUUGUUUAAGUCUUG
rnacentral:tRNA from 1 species